rnacentral:rRNA from 1 species
UACGGGGGGGGCAAGCGUUGUUCGGAAUUACUGGGCGUAAAGGGCUCGUAGGCGGCCAACUAAGUCAGACGUGAAAUCCCUCGGCUUAACCGGGGAACUGCGUUCUGAUACUGGAUGGCUUGAAUCCGGGAGAGGGAUGCGGAAUUCCAGGUGUAGCGGUGAAAUGCGUAGAUAUCUGGAGGAACACCGGUGGCGAAGGCGACAUCCUGGACCGGUAUUGACGCUGAGUGAGCGAAAGCCAGGGGAGCAAACGGGG